rnacentral:rRNA from 1 species
GACGAACGCUGGCGGCGUGCUUAACACAUGCAAGUCGAACGGAAAGGCCCUGCUUUUGUGGGGUGCUCGAGUGGCGAACGGGUGAGUAACACGUGAGUAACCUGCCCUUGACUUUGGGAUAACUUCAGGAAACUGGGGCUAAUACCGGAUAGGAGCUCCUGCUGCAUGGUGGGGGUUGGAAAGUUUCGGCGGUUGGGGCUGGACUCGCGGCUUAUCAGCUUGUUGGUGGGGUAGUGGCUUACCAAGGCUUUGACGGGUAGCCGGCCUGAGAGGGUGACCGGCCACAUUGGGACUGAGAUACGGCGCAGACUCCUACGGGAGGCAGCAGUGGGGAAUAUGGCACAAUGGGCGGAAGCCUGAUGCAGCAACGCCGCGUGCGGGAUGACGGCCUUCGGGUUGUAAACCGCUUUCGCCUGUGACGAAGCGUGAGUGACGGUAAUGGGUAAAGAAGCACCGGCUAACUACGUG